GGAAUAUUGGUCAAUGGACGCAAGUCUGAACCAGCCAUGCCGCGUGGAGGAUGAAGGUCCUCUGGAUUGUAAACUUCUUUUAUAUGGGACGAAAAUGGGUCUUUCCAGAUCAACUGACGGUACCAUAUGAAUACGCACCGGCUAACUCCGUGCCAGCAGCCGCGGUAAUACGGAGGGUGCAAGCGUUAUCCGGAUUCACUGGGUUUAAAGGGUGCGUGGGUGGGUUGGUAAGUCAGUGGUGAAAUCUCCGAGCUUAACUUGGAAACUGCCAUUGAUACUAUCAGUCUUGAAUACCGUGGAGGUUAGCGGAAUAUGUCAUGUAGCGGUGAAAUGCUUAGAUAUGACAUAGAACACCAAUUGCGAAGGCAGCUGGCUACACGAAUAUUGACACUGAGGCACGAAAGCGUGGGGAUCAA
rnacentral:rRNA from 1 species